rnacentral:rRNA from 1 species
GACGAACGCUGGCGGCGUGCUUAAUACAUGCAAGUCGAACGAAGUGGCGAACGGGUGAGUAAUACGUGGGUAACCUGCCCUCCUUUUUGGGAUAAGCCUUGGAAACGGGGACUAAUACCGAAUAAAGGGGGAUGGGCUCGCGGCCUGUCAGCUUGGUGGUGGGGUGAUGGCCUACCAAGGCGGUGACGGGUAGCCGGCCUGAGAGGGUACCCGGCCACAUUGGGACUGCGCUGCGGCCAAGACUCCGAAGGGAGGCAGCAGUGGGGGAAAUUGCACAAUGGGCGAAAGCCUGAUGCAGCGACGCCGCGUGGGGGAUGAAGGCUUUCGGGUUGUAAACCUCCGUCGCUAUCGAACGGGUAGCUGGAGAAGAAGCGCCGGCUAACUACGUGCCAGCCGCCGCGGUAAUAC